GAUGAACGCUAGCGGCAGGCUUAAUACAUGCAAGUCGAGGGGCAGCACAGGGUAGCAAUACCUGGGUGGCGACCGGCAAACGGGUGCGGAACACGUACAGAACCUGCCUUCGAGCGGGGGAUAGCCCAGAGAAAUUUGGAUUAAUACCCCAUAGUAUAUUUGGAUGGCAUCAUUUGAAUAUUAAAGAUUUAUCACUUGAAGAUGGCUGUGCGUAUGAUUAGGUAGUUGGCGGGGUAACGGCCCACCAAGCCUACGAUCAUUAACUGGUGUGAGAGCACGACCAGUCACACGGGCACUGAGACACGGGCCCGACUCCCACAGGAGGCAGCAGUAAGGAAUAUUGGUCAAUGGACGCAAGUCUGAACCAGCCAUGCCGCGUGGAGGAUGAAGGUCCUCUGGAUUGUAAACUUCUUUUAUCUGGGACGAAAAAGGGGAAUUCUUUCUCGUCUGACGGUACCAGAUGAAUAAGCACCGGCUAACUCCGUGCCAGCCGCCGCCGUAAUAC
rnacentral:rRNA from 1 species